GGCUCCUUUCCUCACAUGUCUGGCCCUGGCCUGGAGCACUGGAGGAUGAUGUCUGCUGACUACAGCGUCCAUCCGGGUCCUUCCCAGGCGCUGUGGCCUCCCUCACGGCAUGGCUGCCUCGGGUACUCGGACUUCACAUGGAAGCCCAGGGCUCCAAGAUCAAAUGCCCCAGCAAGACAGAAGCUCAGCCAUCUUUGAUGACCUAGAAGCUAGGUAGCACCCAUUGUACUGCCUUCUAUGGGUUGUGAGUGAGUCUCAAACCUGCCUUGACUCAAGGAAACAGAAUUAGACUCUACGUCUUGAUGGGUUGUGGCCAAGUUCUGGAAGCACAUGAGUGGGGGAUACUGUGACAUUUUCAUCUUUGGAAAACACCAUCUAGCACACCUGAAUCUGCUUUCAGGGGGUGUAAAGGGAUUUCCACAGCAAAAUUUGAAGCCACAUGUGGUCAGCACUUUGUACUGUGGAAACAAAGUGCUCUGGGCAUCCAGAAAGGGGGUAAGUUUUUUCUUACUGGGAUAAAUCUGGCUGCAUUUUAGGUAAUCCUGGAAAAUUGAUCGACAAAAGCAAAGGACCAAGAAAGCUGCUUAUACCAGUGUCUCCUCCCACCCUCAGCCUCCAGUAGCAUCGCUAUAUUUUUCCAUUUUAUUUGUGUCACUUUAAAUAAGGACAUUGAGAGGGAAAAGGCCUCAUCGACAUAGCAACUAUAGGCUAGGUGGGCCUUUGGUGCACACACCCCCCAGCACCCACAGAUAUCCGGGCCUCCUGUGUAUGAAUGUGUGCCAAGAAUUUAGACCUAUUUCUUGCCUUCUGGGCUCUCUAUUCCUCAUCCUCCAUCCAAGUGGCCGUGUUGUGCAGGCCCUGAAAGCAGCAGAUCUUGCCAUUGGAGGAUGAGAAGCCACAUGAAGAAGAAAGAAGACGCCCCAGACAGCAGUGCAGUACCACCUUCCAGAGAUGCCAGUGUGACCGUCUUUGGUCUUCUAGCCCAACUGCUUUCCCUGAAUGCAAUGCAUAAGCAGGCCAGGCAAAAGGAGAAGGGGAAGCUGCCCAGCUAACCCACAGAAUUAUGAGAGAUAAAAAAUCAUUGUCUUAA